AUACUGCUGAAGAGUCCCAAACUAGGACGAAACAGCUGUCCAGUGU
rnacentral:hammerhead_ribozyme from 1 species